UGAGAUGAUAUAGGAUGUUCACUCUCCUUAUUAGGAGUGACUGAUCCUUUAUUAAUCACUCACAACCUCCAUGUACACUUCACCACAUCCAGACACCCGAUACAAGAAUCAAAAAAUUAAGUUAGGAAGUAAACUAAAAUAUGGAUUCAUGUACAUAAGGUACUAUAGCAAUCUCAAGUCAAAGAAUCACUUAUACAACUCCCACUAGAGAAUCAUCAGCUG
rnacentral:lncRNA from 1 species